rnacentral:tRNA from 1 species
GAGACACUAGUAAAACUGAUAUUAUACUGCCUUGUCAAGGCAAAGUUGCGGGUUAAACUCCCACGUGUCUUA